UACAGAGGUCCCAAGCGUUACUGAGGAUCACUGGGUUUAAAGGGUGCGUAGGUGGUCCGUUAAGUCAGUUGUGAAAUCCCCGGGCUCAACCCGGGAACUGCUUCUGAUACUGGCGGACUUGAGGCCAGUAGGGGUCACUAGAACUGACGGUGGAGCGGUGAAAUGCGUAGAUAUCGUCAGGAAUGCCGGUGGUGAAGACGGGUGACUGGGGCUGGUUCUGACACUGAGGCACGAAAGCGUGGGGAGCGAACGGGAGUUGGAUGAUCCCGUAC
rnacentral:rRNA from 1 species